rnacentral:rRNA from 1 species
UACAGAGGGUGCGAGCGUUAAUCGGAUUUACUGGGCGUAAAGGGCGCGUAGGCGGAAAGGUGAGUGUGAUGUGAAAGCCCUGGGCUUAACCUAGGAAGUGCAUCGCAAACGACCUAACUGGAGUAUAAGAGAGGGUAGCGGAAUUUCCGGUGUAGCGGUGAAAUGCGUAGAUAUCGGAAGGAACGUCAAUGGCGAAGGCAGCUACCUGGCUUAAUACUGACGCUGAGGCGCGAAAGCGUGGGGAUCAAACAGG